rnacentral:lncRNA from 1 species
CCAAGUUCAACCUCCCAUCAUGAUGUUUUCCAGAUACAAACUCAUUUGAUCUUACUUAACUUUUUUCAGCAUCCCGUAAGGGGGGCACAGCAGAGAUUCUCUUCUGGGCAGGCUGCAGAUUCUCUUCUGGGCUAGGGUGUGUCUAGAAAUGUUAUCUAGGAACUAGGAUCUGAAAUCUAUUGAGAAAUGUCAGCCCUCUGCGAUUCCCUCAGGUUCUUUUUGGCGCCAUCAAUAUUUUAUUGUUUACCAUUUACUUCAUGGUUUGGAACUCUUCCUGUCUUCCUCCCAACCCAAUAAAACUCUGUAAUUUAAGCAGCAGCUCAGGAAGUGAGGGGGAUGAGGUUGGUUUGGGUCUUCUGAAACAGACGGACUGCAUAAGAGUCUAAUGCCUAAUAUAAUUUUCUCUGACAUCACCCAAGACAUCAUAGGUAUAUCAGAUUUUAAGAUUAUCAUAUGUCUUUCAGUUAUUGGGGCAGUUUCAAUUAAUGCCCCAAAAAUAGCAGCACAACAACACAAUUUACAAAUAUUUAAUAUCUUCUGAAAAGCAUUUCUAAGUUAAGAAUGAAAAAGUAUGUACAUGGGAGGCUGAGACAGGCAGAUCACCUGAGGUCAGGAGUUUGAGACUAGCCUGGCCAACAUGGUCAAUCUCCAUCUCUACUAAAACUACAAUAAUUAGCCAGGCGUGGUGACCAGGUGGGUAAAGCUAGUAAAGUUAUGGCCAGCAAGUACAGCCAGGUUGAUAACUCCAACUGUGUAAGCCUUGUUGCGGGAAGUCAGUAAGGACAGCUGUGUAAACUAAGCAUGAAAUUCACAAUGGGGAAGACUAGGUGGAAAAACUAGGUAGGUAAUCCAGGUUGUUGAGACCACAUGGUUAAGGCCCACAGGUUUAGGCCAGGUGUGGAAAACCAAAGGGUUCAGGCAGGAGAAUCACUUAAGCCUGGGAGUUUGAGACCAGUCUGGACAACACAGUGAGAACCCCAUCUCUGAAAAAAACUUUUGUAAUUAGCUGGGUGUGGUGGUGUGUGCCUGUAGUUUCAGCUCCUCCAGCUUUAGAGUCUGAGGUGGGAAGAUCACUUGAACCCCGAAGGUCAAGGCCAAUAAACAAGAAAGUCCUUAGUCUUUGAAAAGAAAAUGAUUCCAAAAUACAAAAAAAAAAAAAAAAAGUUAAAAAGUUAAACAUCACGUUUGUUUGGCU